CAGCAACUGAGGAAGGGCAGAGAAGGCCAGAAUGACCAGAGAACCUGCUGUAGAGAAAGGCUUUUGGGCUUUGAGCAUCUGCACCUUCAGAAGCUGCGCUGAAGCCUUCAUAGGCAGCCUCUGCCAUGUGAGGGAAGGCACUUCCACCAGGGGCUGGAAUUUAAACCCAGAACUUGAGUCUUGGAUGCUUUAGGCAGUGCCUUGAAAGUACUUCCUGGAGCGGUGUGGAUCUUCAGAGCAUGAGCACAUUGACCUGAGCAACAACUAGAUGAUUCCUAAUCCUUUUUGGGUGUCCAUUUGGUUAUUUACGUGGCCAAGAAAGUCUUAAAAGUCUGCUGAGGAAGCGCAGAUCCGUCAUGCGCAAAAUCUGUUUUGAGGAACUAGAUGGGUGUGCACGUGACCUGGUGUCUAAAGGCAGUUUAAGAAUGGGAACAGAACAAGUUGGGUAUCGAUGGAGGGGUUAUGCUGUCCAUCGUGUAAGUUCUCUUGUGCUCAUAUACCUAUAAGUUGGAAGUUGUACACAGAGUAUAUUCUGUUGAGGACUGUGAAUUAAUUCUGUUAAAUGGAAGUCUUGACCAUUCACUCCACGUAUUGAGCUUUAAUUUCAGUUCUAUGCAGUGAUUGACUGUUGUGUCAAAGAAGAAUUGUCAGUAAAGACACUGCAAGAAAACUGCAGUGUUAGAAAUCAGGAAUAGUGGAAAUCAUAAGGUAAACAAGGGAAAUUUUAAUUUUUCAUCAGGAUUAGAUCAUGCUCUCCUUUCCCUCCCUUUCUCAGUUUAGAAAAACUAUUUAAAUGAUCCUUUCGUUGAGAGAAGAAACUGCUAGAAGGGAUAUGUUAAAAGAAUCUUACUUAAAACUUCAUAUUAAGAGCAUUCGCAAUACAUUUAAAGAUGAAGUUGCUUUUGCGGGGAACAGGUAAUUAAAGGGGAUGUAGAAUGCCAGUAUCAUCAGCCUGUAUUGGAUCUUCAAAUCUGUCGAGUACUUGGUGGUUAGUCAGGGAGAAAAUAAACCUGAUGACUGCUUUCUGAGAAGAGAUGAGAUUUCCUAUGUACGAUAGAAGGUUUAUACACUGUUCAUUCUUUUCUAGAAGUAAAAGUUGUCGAAUAUCAUAAGUCUGCCAGAAUAUUCCAGGUUUCAAGAAAUAAAAAUUCAGCUUAAAAUGAACUUCAGUCAAAACCAAACAUUUCUGGGGCACCUGUGUGGCUCAGCGGAUUAAGCCUCUGCCUUUGGCUCAGGUCAUGAUCCCAGGGUCCUGGG